AUUAAAACAUCCCCAGGACAGGAGGGCGUAUUGGCAAAACGAGAGUACACGUGGAGCGUCUUCUCUCCCCACUCCGUCCGUCUGCCCGUUCCUCGUCGCCGCCCCGCCCCGCCCCUUGGCCCGCCGCAACGGCCAGCGUCCCUUUGAGAGUCCCCCACCAUUAAACUAUUCCCUCUACUCGCCCCCUCUCCUAUAAGCGCCGCCUGUGGGGAGAGGCCAUGACUUCAGCUCUCCGGCAAAAGGCGGCGCAGAUGGCUUCCGCGGCGGCGGCUGCGGCGGCGGGGACGGGGUGCUACUCGCAGACGUCCUGGGCGCUGCGACGCCUUGGCGCCGGAGGCGGCGCCCUCGCAUCGGCGGCCACCCGCAGGAGGAACUGCUCCGUCGCGGCCGCCGUCUUUGACAACCAGAACCGCGAGUACGUGAUCGUGGGCGGCGGGAACGCGGCGGGCUACGCGGCUAGGACGUUCGUCGAGCAUGGCAUGGCCGACGGCCGCCUCUGCAUCGUCUCCAAAGAGGCUGUUCCACCAUACGAGCGACCGGCACUGACCAAAGGCUAUCUGUUUCCCCCAGAAAAAAAGCCGGCACGCCUACCUGGAUUCCAUACCUGUGUUGGAUCUGGUGGCCAGAGGCAGACUGCCGAAUGGUACAAGGAGAAUGGCAUAGAGGUGCUGUAUGAGGAUCCAGUUGAAGCAUUUGAUGGCAAAACACAGACCUUGAAAACUUCAUCAGGGAAAAUUCUGAAGUAUGGGUCACUUAUCAUUUCUACUGGUUGUGCAGCUGCAAGACUACCUGAGAAAAUUGGAGGAGACUUACCUGGAGUUCACUAUAUACGUGAUGUUGCUGAUGCUGAUUCUCUAGUAUCUUCAUUGGGAAAAGCAAAGAAAAUUGUUGUUAUUGGUGGGGGCUAUAUUGGCAUGGAGGUGGCUGCUGCAGCUUGUGGCUGGAAUCUUGACACAACUAUAAUAUUCCCAGAAGAUCACAUAAUGCCAAGAUUGUUUACGCCUUCCCUUGCUAAGAAGUAUGAGGAACUGUAUGAGCAAAAUGGCGUCAAAUUCGUAAAGGGAGCUCUUAUUGACAAACUUGAUGCUGGCUCUGAUGGAAGGGUGUCUUCAGCUAUACUUAAAGAUGGUUCUGUUGUUGAAGCUGAUACAGUUAUUGUUGGUAUAGGAGCAAAACCAUCUGUCAGCCCCUUCGAAGCUGUGGGAGUUAACAUCGAAGUUGGUGGAAUAGAGGUUGAUUCCAUGUUUAGAACAAGUAUACCUAGCAUCUUUGCUAUUGGAGAUGUGGCAGCUUUUCCGCUCAAGAUGUAUGAUAGAAUAGCUCGAGUGGAGCAUGUGGAUCAUGCCAGAAAGUCUGCACAACAUUGUAUAGAAACACUCUUAACAUCCCAGGCAAAAGCGUAUGACUACCUUCCGUAUUUCUAUUCUCGAGUUUUUGAGUAUGAAGGAAGCUCCAGGAAAAUUUGGUGGCAAUUCUACGGAGAUAACGUUGGUGAAACAAUUGAAGUAGGGAACUUUGAUCCUAAGAUUGCUACCUUCUGGAUUGACUCUGAUAGUCGAUUGAAGGGUGUUUUCCUUGAGAGUGGAACCUCAGAGGAAUUCUCGCUUCUUCCAAAGCUCGCGAGAUCACAGCCCAUUGUCGACAAAGCUAAGCUCAAGAGUGCAACUUCAGUUGAAGAUGCAUUAGAGAUUGCGAGAAGCUCUCUUUAGUCUGGCUCUUCUGUUUAACUAGUUGUCAACACAUAUGGCCUCUUCAGUUUGGGACUGCAGCUUGUUUUGAAAAGUCAGGACUAUGAUGACAAUAAUGCGGCCAUAGUAUCCGUUCUAUGCGGGGUUUGAACAGUGGGUGGUAUGAACUAUAGUUUGAAGUUUAAACAAUGGUUUCCAUAUGCUAAUUGAAGAAACUUAUGGUCAUUUCGAUCGAUCGAAGGAUGUAGCAACGAAAUUGGCUAAAUCAUGUAUCUUAUUCAUGUUUUACUGGGAGUUCUCGAUUCUCAGUGCAUAUCUUGGAAAACUUUCUUGAGGUCUACUGUUUCUCCUGAAAUACACACAAGAAUUCUCUUGGUCA